rnacentral:rRNA from 1 species
UACAGAGGUGGCAAGCGUUGCUCGGAAUUACUGGGCGUAAAGGGCGCGUAGGCGGCCCGUCAAGUCCCGUGUGAAAGCCCCCGGCUCAACCGGGGAACGGCGCGGGAAACUAGCAGGCUUGAGUUCGGGAGAGGGAAGCGGAAUUCCGGGUGUAGCGGUGAAAUGCGCAGAUAUCCGGAGGAACACCGGUGGCGAAGGCGGCAUUCUGGACCACAACUGACACUGAGAGACGAAAGCCAGGGGAGCAAACGGG